GACGAACGCUGGCGGCGUGCUUAACACAUGCAAGUCGAACGGAAAGGCCCUGCUUUUGUGGGGUGCUCGAGUGGCGAACGGGUGAGUAACACGUGAGUAACCUGCCCUUGACUUUGGGAUAACUUCAGGAAACUGGGGCUAAUACCGGAUAGGAGCUCCUGCUGCAUGGUGGGGGUUGGAAAGUUUCGGCGGGUGGGGAUGGACUCGCGGCUUAUCAGCUUGUUGGUGGGGUAGUGGCUUACCAAGGAUUUGACGGGUAGCCGGCCUGAGAGGGUGACCGGCCACAUUGGGACUGAGAUACGGCCCAGACUCCUACGGGAGGCAGCAGUGGGGAAUAUUGCACAAUGGGCGGAAGCCUGAUGCAGCAACGCCGCGUGCGGGAUGACGGCCUUCGGGUUGUAAACCGCUUUCGCCUGUGACGAAGCGUGAGUGACGGUAAUGGGUAAAGAAGCACCGGCUAACUACGU
rnacentral:rRNA from 1 species